ACACAUACAUUUUAGUGUAAAAGGGAACACAGAUAAACAAACACACACGUAAUUUGAUCCUUAUAUUUAUAUGGUUGCCAAGAAAAACGAUAGUGUACAGUGGCAGGAAUGUAAAUACGUAUAUACUUAAAUUAAGAAAGUUUGUAACCAUUUUACAGAGUUGAUGUGAUUAUUCUUUGAUUCAAUCAAAGAUCACAUGUAAAUGAAUGUGUUGUGUUUGGCAGUUGUUUUCAGGUAAAUAUCAGAUGGUCUAAAAAUGUAAUCAGAAUAUCCACUCCUUCAGGAUUACAUUUGUGAUGAGGAUCGUUCGAUGACGAAAUUCAGAGAGGCCAUGUCCAGACUUACCAUAACCAUAAGUGGACCAAUGAACCACCCGUCCAGGAGCUCCCCUGAGCCCAUGGUCAUUGAUGGUGGGCCUCUGUCUAAGACACAGGAAAAAAUACCAGAGGCCAAAAAGAAGGAGGCUCCCUUUGUAAAAAGGGAUGAAACCGGUGACUCUGGGGCCACUGGAGGAGGAUCCACCCAGACAUCACUGAAAAUUAAGCAAAGACGUGCCUAUAAAAGAACAUUCAAGGAUGUUAAUCCAGCCGGUAUUAGACGGUAAGGGUUCCCUGUAUGGAUGAUCUUUUGCAAUAGUCCUGAUAUUGAAAUGGUUUUUUUUUUAUACAAAAGGACUCACAGCUCUGGCCCUGAAAAAAAGAGGAGACGAGUGACAAAAAACAUUACGAGAGAUAGGGGAGACAAGGCGGUGCAGGUUUCAGAGGAACCCAGGUAGCUAAAUGUGGGGUGGUUAUUAGGUAGCACGACUUUCAAAGCUUUAUAGAGACUCAUUUGUUUUGGCAGUUUGUCACUAAACAUCCUCAGCUCAGGUCGUGCAUGAACUGUUAAGUGUAGCUAUAUUAAAAGAAACUGAAGAAUCUUAAAAAAAAAUUUGAAAAAGACUUUCUCUUUAGACACACAGGACACCCUCUUCACCAUGUGAUGAAGACCUGGAUGAAAAGGACUCCUAGAGUGUGUUUGUCACAGAAAUGGGGAGAAAGUGGACUAAACAAGAACAGCAGCCGGCUCAAUGUCACUUCACACCUUUUCAAUGAAGAGAGCGAAGUGGACGGAGAAACCAGAACAACCAUCACUGAGUGAAACAUUGCUGGUUCCCUUCCUGUGUUUGUAUUCAUCAACUGCCUGUCUGCAUUUUAUUUGGGCCUAUCUUAUUGUAUAUUGUUACAUAAAAUGUAUUGCAUAAUACUAUAUCAUAAUGUAUACUAAUUAAGUGCUACUAUAUUGUUUUGCAUUGUAUUAAUGGUAUACUAUCAUUACAUUAUUAUUACAUUGUGUUAUAUUGUUAUUAAAUACCAUAAGUUCAUAUUGCCUUACCUAAAGUGUCUUCCUAUCUCACAGUUCAUUUAAAUCUAAAGAUGCCUCUCUGCAAUUUUAGUAUAUGUAUAAUGUGAAUUAUCUCUAAUCAAACCCACUCACACAACAGUAACAAGUUUUCUUAUUGACCUGAACAUAAAGGGCCUCUCACCCCUCCCUUCAUAAGAUCAACUCUAUGCUUUAAUGAUUUGUCAGAAACAAUCAUUGUGGUGUAUAAAUAUAUCAAAGUGUAAGAUGCUAAAUUAAACCUGUGGGCAAUGUGUGCAUAACUGGCAUAAAUGUAUGCAACUGCAUAUUUAGCUGCAUCUUCAUGAUUAUUUUGAAUUGAAUGGAUUUCAUUAUUUUACUUGGCUGGAUUUUUUGGUAAGGAAAUAACAGAUGGAAGGGAGGUAUCUUGCGGCCAGAUGGCUCCACCCGCCACGCCUUAUAUGGACUUCCUGCCUAAGGAGGCGAGGGUGGGAACAGUUUAGGAGAAGAGGAGAGAAAACCGGGAAGACCAAGUGAGACGUAGUUUCGAAAAGUAGAGUACAGAAGAUUUAACCAAAGUGUGAGAUUCACUGGAUUAACCUGGACUGGCUGACUACCCUCCAUGUUAACCUGGAUCCAAGAUUGCAUUCUUCACUAAUUGUAUGGUUGCUUCCUCAUUGUUGCCGUUAAGACAAACUAAACUGAGACCAAUUCCUGACCAAAACCGGAGUUCGUCGAGACCAAAACCAGGACUUUGUCCGGGUCGGAUCACCCUCGAAACCGUCUCUAGACCAAGCCUGACCUCAAGCACUGCAUCUAGAUCUAAAAAUAAAACAUGAUUGUGCUCCAAAACAGUCAAUUUUCUGAUAUCAUUUAUUUUUUGGAGGAAGAAUUUUUUGUUGAUUGCAGAGUUUGUGCAGCUAUUCAGGACACUAUAAAGAAACGAACUCUGAUGGCAUGGACCGAAACAAGCACUGCUGAUGUCUUCGCUUUUGAAUUUCAUUGUAAAAUCAACAUAAAUGAUUAGCAUUCAGGAGCAGAUACUUAAGCACUAUGCAGGGAUUUUACUAAAUUAUUCCUUCAAUGUCAUUGAAUGGGAAAACAUUGGAUUCAUUCAGUCACUCUGAAGAAAGCUCAAAAUGGAACUAAUGGCAAAAGUGAGAGUCAUUUGAAAUUUGUUGUGCUUUUUCUGUCAGCAUACUGUAUUUUUGGAGAAAAGUUCACACAUUUAUAAAUAUGACCACAAGAAAACCUCAUGGACUGUCAAAGGAAGGUGGGAAAUGGAAACAUACCGACGGCUCAACAUACUAAAUGUAUGGUUGGUAGUUAGUUUGCAGGAACAUCAUGAAUGCCAAUACGAGAACAGUUCGGAAGAAAAAUAAAACAGCGGUAGAUGUAAACUGGGGGAGAGAAUUUAAAGCGCAAUAAAAACACUCGGACAAUGGAGACAAAAACAAAGUGCGAGUGAGCGAGCAGAAGGAGAGUAGAAGGACUGGAUGAGCCAAACCUGGCAGCAGAGAGAAAACAGGAUGCCGUUCUGUCCUUCACGCCCUCAAAAUGCUACGACAGAAAGACAUUUUCAGCUCCACUGCAGGAAAUAUUAACGAAAAAGAGGCCAAAUUCUCACAAAAAUAAAUUCAAAUUUAAAGAAAGAAAUCUGACCAAGUAACGCCUCCAGGAAGAGGAACCCUCCCAAAAGACAGCUGAAAACUCCUAGCACGGUCGUAUUGACUCUGUUGCACAUCCAAACAGAUAAUCAGGAGAACUCAACAUCACUCAUCUUAGAGUUAGCCGUGGGUAAUUGCCUCAGCAGCUUGAUUGAAAAGUUUUCUAAACCCCAAAAAAAACGUAAGAAAAACUUGAGAAAGGUAAGGAAAGAAUGAUUGAUGGAGCUCUGAAGGCCUCACACCAUCUGGACCGAGCAAGUUAUAGCCAACAAUAAAGGAGAAUUUCGAGUCUUUCAGGGUAUAGCAGAAGAAAUAUCUGGACCAAAUGACACUUGCUGCUCGCCUGUGGUCUGCAUGAAAAGAGAAUUACCAAGUUCAGCCAAAAAUAUAACAUCUGCUUGUGGAAAAAUGACUAUAAAAACACACGAGAGAGGUAUAAGAUUGGUCAGGGAGGUGUAUUAUUAUGUGAAAUGAUGGCAUAUUUAUGGCGCAUGCUGGUCGAGUUGAGGCUCCAACUUUUAACCCAUAACAAUUACAUUGAUAGGUUGAACUAAACCUUACAUUUCAUGGAUAUAUUCACAACGUAUUUUGCCAUAUGGUUUUAUCUUAAUAUGCAGAAAAUCCCUCUUGUUGUUUUAAUUCCUAAUCAUCAGAGUUGCACAUUGUCCACCUUGCUCAACAUUCUCUUGCAAAACCCGUACUUGAUUAUAUUAUUAUCAUUACGAGAGGGAGGUAGUGUGCGUGAAUCGUAAUUGAGGCUUUGCUAAACAAUUGUUGAUGCAACAUUCGCCUCCAUAAAGCAUGCUGCAUUGCUGAAACUGAAUUGAGAGAGAGAGAUAAUAGGAGCGGAAAACACUCGGACACGAGUGAGAGGAUGCGAGCUGAGAGAGAGAGAGAGAGAGGGGGAGAGAGAGGGGGGAGGCUUUCAUCAUCCACGUCGCGGUGGGA
ensembl:lncRNA